GAAGACGGUCAUAGCGGUGAGGAAAUACCUGUUCCCUUUCCGAACACAGAAGUCAAGCUUGCCGCGUUUUGUGCUUUAGUCUCCUACAAGAGGCGAACCACGGAUGCUGUCUUCA
rnacentral:rRNA from 1 species